AGAGUUUGAUCAUGGCUCAGAAUCAACGCUGGCGGCGUGCCUAACACAUGCAAGUCGCCCGAGAAAGGGGCUUCGGUCCUGAGUAAAGUGGCGCACGGGUGAGUAACACGUGAAUGAUCUACCUCCGAGUGGGGAAUAACUGAGAGAAAUCUUAGCUAAUACCGCAUAACACUUACGAGUCAAAGCAGCAAUGCGCUUGGAGAGGAGUUCGCGGCCGAUUAGUUAGUUGGCGGGGUAAUGGCCCACCAAGACGAUGAUCGGUAUCCGGCCUGAGAGGGCGCACGGACACACUGGAACUGAAACACGGUCCAGACUCCUACGGGAGGCAGCAGUGGGGAAUUUUGCGCAAUGGGGGAAACCCUGACGCAGCAACGCCGCGUGGAGGAUGAAGUAUCUUGGUACGUAAACUCCUUUCGAUGGGGAAGAUAAUGACGGUACCCAUAGAAGAAGCCCCGGCUAACUUCGUGCCAGCAGCCGCGGUAAUACGAGGGGGGCAAGCGUUGUUCGGAAUUAUUGGGCGUAAAGGGUGCGUAGGCGGUUUGAUAAGUCUGAUGUGAAAUCUCUGGGCUCAACCCAGAGUCUGCAUUAGAAACUGUCGGGCUUGAGUAUGGGAGAGGUGAGUGGAAUUUCCGGUGUAGCGGUGAAAUGCGUAGAUAUCGGAAGGAACACCUGUGGCGAAAGCGGCUCACUGGACCAUAACUGACGCUGAGGCACGAAAGCUAGGGGAGCAAACAGGAUUAGAUACCCUAGUAGUCC
rnacentral:rRNA from 1 species